AAACGCUUGAAGUCAGUCGCGUUAGCUAGGAAUCAGCCUUGCUUUUGCUUGGUGUACUUCCUGGUUGACGGGUCAGCAUCAAUUUUGACCGGUGGAAAAAGGCCAGUUGAAUGUGGCACCUUCGGGUGUGUUAUAGCUUCUGGUCGUAUACAUCGGUUGGGAUUGAGGAACUCAGCACGCCGCAAGG
rnacentral:rRNA from 1 species